rnacentral:rRNA from 1 species
GAUGAACGCUGGCGGCGUGCCUAAUACAUGCAAGUCGAGCGAACAGACGAGGAGCUUGCUCCUCUGACGUUAGCGGCGGACGGGUGAGUAACACGUGGAUAACCUACCUAUAAGACAGGGAUAACUUCGGGAAACCGGAGCUAAUACCGGAUAAUAUAUUGAACCGCAUGGUUCAAUAGUGAAAGACGGUUUUGCUGUCACUUAUAGAUGGAUCCGCGCCGCAUUAGCUAGUUGGUAAGGUAACGGCUUACCAAGGCGACGAUGCGUAGCCGACCUGAGAGGGUGAUCGGCCACACUGGAACUGAGACACGGUCCAGACUCCUACGGGAGGCAGCAGUAGGGAAUCUUCCGCAAUGGGCGAAAGCCUGACGGAGCAACGCCGCGUGAGUGAUGAAGGUCUUCGGAUCGUAAAACUCUGUUAUUAGGGAAGAACAAAUGUGUAAGUAACUAUGCACGUCUUGACGGUACCUAAUCAGAAAGCCACGGCUAACUACGUG